GACGAACGCUGGCGGCGUGCUUAACACAUGCAAGUCGAACGAAGUGCCGAACGGGUGAGUAAUACGUGGGUCCCCUGCCCUCCUUUUUGGGAUAAGCCUUGGAAACGGGGUCUAAUACCGCCUAUCGGGGGAUGUGCUCGCUGCCUAUCAGCUUGUUGGUGGGGUGAUGGCCUACCACGGCGGUGACGGGUAGCCGGCCUGAGGGGGGGAACGGCAACAUGGGGACUGAGAUGCGGCCAAGGCACCGACGGGGGGCAGCAGUGGGGGAUAUGGGAGAAUGGGGGAAGGCCUGAUGCAGAGAGGCCGAGUGGGGGAUGAAGGCUUUCGGGUUGUAAACCUCUAUCGCUAACGAACGGGUAGGUGGAGAAGAAGCGCCGGCUAACUACGUGCCAGCAGCCGCGGUAAUUC
rnacentral:rRNA from 1 species